GAUGAACGCUAGCGGCAGGCCUAACACAUGCAAGUCGAGGGAGAGGUUAUCUUCGGGUAACCAAAACCGGCGCACGGGUGCGUAACGCGUAUACAAUCUGCCUUUCACAUAGGGAUAGCCCGAAGAAAUUUGGAUUAAUACCUAAUGGUAUAUAAGAGCGGCAUCGUUUUUAUAUUAAAGCUACGGUGGUGAAAGAUGAGUAUGCGUUCUAUUAGCUAGUUGGAGAGGUAACGGCUCCCCAAGGCGACGAUAGAUAGGGGUUCUGAGAGGGAUGUCCCCCACACUGGUACUGAGAUACGGACCAGACUCCUACGGGAGGCAGCAGUGAGGAAUAUUGGACAAUGGUCGGAAGACUGAUCCAGCCAUGCCGCGUGCAGGAUGAAGGUCCUAUGGAUUGUAAACUGCUUUUGUAAGGGAAGAAUAAGGAGUACGUGUACUUUGAUGACGGUACCUUACGAAUAAGCAUCGGCUAACUCCGUGCCAGCAGCCGCGGUAAUACGGAGGAUGCGAGCGUUAUCCGGAAUCAUUGGGUUUAAAGGGUCCGUAGGCGGGCUGAUAAGUCAGAGGUGAAAGCGCUUAGCUCAACUAAGCAACUGCCUUUGAAACUGUCAGUCUUGAAUGAUUGUGAAGUAGUUGGAAUGUGUAGUGUAGCGGUGAAAUGCUUAGAUAUUACACAGAACACCGAUAGCGAAGGCAUAUUACUAACAAUUUAUUGACACUGAUGGACGAAAGCGUGGGGAGCGAACAGG
rnacentral:rRNA from 1 species